rnacentral:rRNA from 1 species
GACGAACGCUGGCGGCGUGCUUAACACAUGCAAGUCGAACGGAAAGGCCUGCUUUCCCUUGUGGAUUGCGGGUACUCGAGUGGCGAACAGGUGAGUAACACGUGAGUGAUCUGCCCCCAACUUGGGUAUAAGCCUGGGAAACUGGGUCUAAUUCCCGAUAGGACUGCAGGGUGGUGCCUGUGGUGGAAAACGAUUUUCUAGUGGUUGGGGAUGAGCUCGCGGCCUAUCAGCUUGUUGGUGGGGUAAUGGCCUACCAAGGCGGCGACGGGUAGCCGGCCUGAGAGGGUGGACGGCAACAUUGGGACUGAGAUACGGCCCAGACUCCUACGGGAGGCAGCAGUGGGGAAUAUUGCACAAUGGGCGGAAGCCUGAUGCAGCGACGCCGCGUGGGGGAUGACGGCCUUCGGGUUGUAAACUCCUUUCGACCGCGAGGAAGCCACCUGGUUGGAAGGGUGGUGACGGUAGUGGUAGAAGAAGCACCGGCUAACUACGUG